rnacentral:rRNA from 1 species
GACGAACGCUGGCGGCGUGCUUAAUACAUGCAAGUCGAACGGAAAGGCCCUGCGUUUGUGGGUUGCUCGAUUGGCGAGCGGGUGUGUAACACGUGUGUAACCUGCCCUUGACUGUGGGAGAACUUCAGGAAACUGGGGCUAAUACCGGAUAGGAGCCCCUGCUGCAUGGUGGGGGUGGGAAAGUGUCGGCGGUUGGGGAUGGACUCGCGGCUUAUCAGCUUGCUGGUGGGGUAGGGGCUUACCAAGGCUUUGACGGGUAGCCGGACUGAGAGGGUGACAGGCCACAUUGGGACUGAGAUACGGCCCAGACUCCUACGGGCGGCAGCAGUGGGGAACAUUGCACAAUGGGCGGAAGCCUGAUGCAGCAACGCCGCGUGCGGGAUGACGGCCUUCGGGUUGUAAACCGCUUUCGCCUGUGACGAAGCGUGAGCGACGGUAAUGGGUAAAGAAGCACCGGCUAACUACGUG